UUGGAAGAUUUUACACUGUGAAGUGUGGUCACCUGGUUUCGCAGCAGCCUUCGACGCAACAUUCGGAACUGCACUUAAAUUUCUGCCAAACCAAAAGGAGCUGAAUAAAAGGACCCGGGUCCCUCAGGCACAUAGCAGGGGGUUGCAGGCACGCACCAUUACAUCCUCCGCACCUUUAACAAACCAAUGAGACUUGUGAAAGAGUAUUGGGGAGCUCCGACCUCGAGGAUCAGCAACGGCUUUUUGCCAAGGCCCAGGACACAGCCAUAGCUCAAUGCAUCCCGGAAUGAGGACGCCUUUCCAAAGCUUCAUUUAUGUAAUAUAUUUGUUUAUUCUGUCUU